GACGAACGCUGGCGGCGUGCCUAAUACAUGCAAGUAGAACGCUGAAGGAGGAGCUUGCUCUUCUGGAUGAGUUGCGAACGGGUGAGUAACGCGUAGGUAACCUGCCUGGUAGCGGGGGAUAACUAUUGGAAACGAUAGCUAAUACCGCAUAAUAGUAGUUGUUGCAUGACAACUGUUUAAAAGGUGCAAUUGCAUCACUACCAGAUGGACCUGCGUUGUAUUAGCUAGUUGGUGGGGUAACGGCUCACCAAGGCGACGAUACAUAGCCGACCUGAGAGGGUGAUCGGCCACACUGGGACUGAGACACGGCCCAGACUCCUACGGGAGGCAGCAGUAGGGAAUCUUCGGCAAUGGACGGAAGUCUGACCGAGCAACGCCGCGUGAGUGAAGAAGGUUUUCGGAUCGUAAAGCUCUGUUGUAAGAGAAGAACGAGUGUGAGAGUGG
rnacentral:rRNA from 1 species